GCCUCCGUCUGUGACCUAUAUGAAUGUUGGCCUGAAAUCAUUGGAGGAAAUGAGGAAGAAAAAUAAAGGAGAGCAGAGUUCUGACACCAUUUACUCCAAAUUGAUGUUUUAAGGUGCUGUUUCUGGAUCAAUAUGACGAAUGCUCAGACAACUUUCAUCAACACUGGAAUACAAAAAA